UACGGAGGGUGCAAGCGUUAUCCGGAUUCACUGGGUUUAAAGGGUGCGUAGGUGGGCUGGUAAGUCAGUGGUGAAAUCUCCAGGCUUAACUUGGAAACUGCCAUUGAUACUAUCAGUCUUGAAUACCGUGGAGGUCAGCGGAAUAUGUCAUGUAGCGGUGAAAUGCUUAGAUAUGACAUAGAACACCAAUUGCGAAGGCAGCUGGCUACACGAAUAUUGACACUGAUGCACGAAAGCGUGGGGGAUCAAACAGG
rnacentral:rRNA from 1 species